CGGGGCUCCCCUCCAGGCCGGCCAAACCGAGAGCGCGCGACCUCCCUCUGCCCGCUCCUCCGCAGCUGCGCGACCCACCGCGUGACGCAGCAUCCGGACGAGAGGCUACCCUAGUCCCCAGUCCCCUCAGAAGUGGGACAGAAACGGGAAAAAUGCUCAUUGGACAUGAUGCCAGCCACCAAGACUUAAAUAUUUCCAUGCUGCCCCUUUCAUCCUGUUUCUGAAGUCAUCUCAAGUUACCACGAGGACAACAAUGCUGUGAAAAGGACAUCUUCAAAGAAAACCCCGAACAACAGUUUUUAAAAGAAGAUAAAGCAAAUCCAAUUUGUCGAGAUGUUUCUGCUGUUCUCAGAGAUAAAUUACAUUAUUGUGUUUUAUCAGCAGAUUGGUGGACAGUUUUAACAGCUUAAAACUGAAAACAAAAUGGAAGGGGCCUCUAGUGUCUCCGAAGAAUCGGCUAUUUCAGGCUUGUGGAACUUCCUAAUUGGUAGUACUGCUUUGGAAACUUGUGGAGCCUUUGUGAUAUGGGCUUAGCAGAUGGAAGCAGGUUUCCAGGGAAGGCAUUUGAAGGCCACACCUGCCUCCGGUUCUGGCUAUUCACCCUGGUUCCUGGUUGUGUCAGUGAACAAGUGCUGCCAAGUACUCCAGUCCCCACGUGGUCCUCCUCCUGCAGAAGAAGUCUCUACUGUGAUGGACUCUGCCAUCUAAAACCAUGAGCUGAAACCAAUCCUUCCUCCCAUAAGAUGUUCCUGACAGAUGAAUGCACGAGUCAGGAGCCCAUUGGAGAUGGUCACCAGAACUUGGGAAGUGACAAAAGAAGAAAGACAUAUUGCAGCAGUUGGAAUAGAGUCAAUAGUCCUGGAUUCAUUUGGCUAAACACUCUUCUGUUUAUUAAUUUAUUUUGUAUGGGUGUGCGUGUAGGUAUGUGUGUGGGUGCACAUGUGCUGUAGCAUGAAUGUUGAGGUCAGAGGAUGUCUUGCAGGCAUCAACUGUUCUCCCUUUCUACCAUGGAUUCUGAACUCGGUUCCUUGUGCUUGGUGGCAAGCACAUUUACCCCUGCUACCAGCUGAGCUAUCUCCCCUCUUAAACUCCCAUUUAAAGAUUCUCUCUCAGGUAUAGGUACAGGUACAGGUACAGGUACUGGUUCAGGUACAGGUACAGGUACCGGUACAGGUACAGGUAUGGGUAUAUGUGUGAAACAAGGUCUCCUGUAGCCUAGUGUUCUGGCUAGUUUUAUGUCAAAUUGACACAGGCUAGAGUCAUCUGAAAGGAGAAAAAUCUCAAUUGAGAAAAUGUCUCCAAAAGAUCCUGCUGUAAGCUUUUCUUAACUAGGGAUUGAUAGGGGAGGGCCCAGUCCAUUGUGGCUGGUGCUACUCCUGGGCAGGUUGUUCUGGUUUCUGUAAGGAAGCAGCCUGAGCAAGCCAUGAUGAGCUAGCCAGUAAGCAGCACCCCUCCAAUAGGCUCUGCAUCAGUUACUGCCUCCAGGUUCCUUCCCUGAUUGAGUUCCUGUCCUGAUUUCCUUCAGUGGUAUAUUAUGAUGUGGGAGUGUAAGCCAAAUAAACCCUUUCCUACCCAACUUACUUUUGGUCAUGAUGUUUCAUCACAGCAAUAGCAAUCCUAACUAAUACUCCAAGACUGAGUCCACAUUCACUACAGAGGCAAGACUGGCGUUGAAUUCCUUAUCCUCUUGCUUCUGCCUCCUAAGCAGUGGGGUUAUAGCAUGCAUCACCAGA